UACGUAGGGUGCAAGCGUUUAAUCGGAAUUACUGGGCGUAAAGCGUGCGCAGGCGGUUAUAUAAGACAGUUGUGAAAUCCCCGGGCUCAACCUGGGAACUGCAUCUGUGACUGUAUAGCUAGAGUACGGUAGAGGGGGAUGGAAUUCCGCGUGUAGCAGUGAAAUGCGUAGAUAUGCGGAGGAACACCGAUGGCGAAGGCAAUCCCCUGGACCUGUACUGACGCUCAUGCACGAAAGCGUGGGGACAAACAGG
rnacentral:rRNA from 1 species